rnacentral:sRNA from 1 species
UGCAGGAGAACAGCCUUGGUGGCCCUCUUCGCAGGUGUUCUCCAGCACAGAGCUCAAGUCUCUCCUUGUGGGGUCUCCGUGAUUCACUGUUGAAUUUUCACUGAAGAGAGAAAUUUCCCAGGGAAGGGGGAAAAAAAUGGCACAGCAAUUGGCACCAGAAAAUGAACAGUCGUGUUUGGUGUGAGCUCUAAUGCUGGCACCUGGUGGUCCGGUGCCAGUCCUGGGAAUGACUGAUUUAAUAUGAAGAUGAAGAAAACUGUUGGCUGAGCAGGGGACUUCCCACCUUUCCCCCACAACAUCAAUAGCACUUCUGUGACAUUGACAGAUGAAGUAGGAGGUAACCUCAGGGAUGGACAUCUUAUUGUAUCUCCAAUUGAGUAUGGCAACAAAGCCUUUCAUCUCCCUGAUGCAUGGCCAAAGGUUGGCAUCCUAAAGGCUGGGCUCACCCUUCGCAGCCCGACAUUAAUGGAGCUGCCUGCUGUCACCCUGG